AUACGUAGGUGGCGAGCGUUGUCCGGAAUUACUGGGUGUAAAGGGCGUGUAGGCGGGGAAACAAGUCAGAUGUGAAAUUCCAAGGCUCAACCUUGGCGCUGCAUCUGAAACUGUAUCUCUUGGGUGCUGGAGAGGAAAGCGGAAUUCCUAGUGUAGCGGUGAAAUGCGUAGAUAUUAGGAGGAACACCAGUGGCGAAGGCGGCCUUCUGGACAGUAACUGACGCUGAGGCGCGAAAGCGUGGGGAGCAAACAG
rnacentral:rRNA from 1 species